rnacentral:pre_miRNA from 1 species
AGUGGGAUAGCUGGGUCAAAUGGUGUAUCCAUGCCAAUAUUUUAAGGAAUCUCCAUACUGCUUUUCCAGAGUGGUUGAACCAAAUUGCAGUCCUACCAGCAAU